rnacentral:misc_RNA from 1 species
GAUGAAGAACGUAGUGAAAUGCGAUAAGUAAUGUGAAUUGCAGAAUUCAGUGAAUCAUCGAAUCUUUGAACGCACAUUGCGCCCGCCAGUAUUCUGGCGGGCAUGCCUGUUCGAGCGUCAUUUCAACCCUCAAGCCCCAGCGGUUUGGUGUUGGGGACCGGCGAGUACAGAGGCUUUGGGGACUUGUCCCCCUUCCCUCGGCGCCGCCCCCGAAAUGAAUUGGCGGUCUCGUCGCGGCCUCCUCUGCGUAGUAGCACAACCUCGCAUCAGGAGCGCGGCGCGGCCACUGCCGUAAAACGCCCAACUUUUUUUAAGAGUUGACCUCGAAUCAGGUAGGAAUACCCGCUGAACUUAAGCAUAUCAAUAAGCGGAGGA